GAUAUAUUAUUUCUUAAAUAAUUCACUGUUUCCAGCCUUCUUUGUUUAAUAGGAAAAUGAAUCGGAUCGUGUUAGAAUAACAAGUAAAGCAUUGUUAAUGUAAGACAUUCCUUCUUUUUCAAGUUAUCUUAUUUUCAAAAGUAAAGACAGAGAUGGCGGCAGCACAAAAUCUCGAAUUAUUGUAACAGGUGUUCACAGGCGUGUGUGGAACAGAUGGUAGCAGCUAUAACAGAAUGUCAAAGAUUAAGGUGUACAAAGGGGUACCAGAUGUUGGCUUCUAACACGGUGGAUACACAAGGAAAUCGUUCAACAAGAUUUGAAUAUUUUCAAUAAAUAGAGGUGUGCAAAGGUUACCAGACGUGGGCUUCUGACACAGAGAAUAUACACGAGAUCGUUUAGCAACAUCAGACUAUUUUCACGAAAUAGAGAUGUUGGAAUGGUACCAGAUGUUGGCUUCUGACACAGUGGAUGUACAGAAGAUCACCAAUGAAAGUAACAGACGGUUGGUAACAAUUGAUCGUUCUUGAAGGUAAGAGAAAAUUAUACAUGGUAACGUAAAAAAUACAAAGUUACAGAUGAAAGUAACAGAUUAAAGUUGCAGAUGAAAGCUGCAGAUGAAAGUGACAGAUCCUGAAAAUAAAAAAGGUGUGUUAAUGUAUAUUUCUAUAUUUACUUUGACUAGUACUGUUGAAUUCCCUUUGUCAUUGAUGCGUGAAACUUGUUUUACAGACCAGCCGAUGUACAGAAACAACUAGCGUUGGACCGGGGAGUGCCUGGUAAUUUCGACGUUUGAUAGGUAUUUGCAUCAAGUAUUUGUUAUUGAUUGCAUGCCUUAAAUUUCAGAUGAAAACCAUUACUUGAAGUUACGGAUGGAUACAGUAGUUCUUCGUAUCAAUCAAGUGAAAAUCACAGCUCCGCAUUUACAGAUGAAGACUGUAGCUCUUUGCUACAGAUGAAUAACGUAGCUCUGCUGGACUGAAGUUGCCUGCUCCUCACCUUUUGGGGUUCCAAACCAUGCUCAGAGUGUAGACUUUAAACACAUUAGUUACAGAAUAUGGAAGCGAGGCUCGGCUUCGGUGGAUGGACAAUAGGUGGCAUACGUGAUAGACUUGAGGGAAGCGUUUCAAAAUGACGAAUCUUCGUAAGACUAGGAACACUUAAAUAUAGGUAGGCGUAUAUCACAUUAAUUUAGACAAGAACACCUGGGAUCUUUUCUUUUUUUUUUUUUUUGAGAAUCAGUUAAACCGAGACGAGGGAACGUCUAGACUGGGACCGUAUACAAACAUAAUUUUCUUUGUGGCAUUUCGCACGUGAAGUUUUGUUUUCCAUAUAAUUUGUAUAAAAAUAUUAGGAAUAUUACACUCGAGAAUAACUCAUGAAUAACUAUUAUAGUUUUGUAUUAAAUGACCCCCAGAACAUUUUUCUUUGCAAUAUUUAGUUACAGAACAUGAUUGUGAGGCUAGGUUUCAAAUGAAUGGGCGGACAGCAGACGUGUAACACUUGGUAGACACCACCCAGAAUGGCGGUUGUUUUCCAGAGACCUUAAUUACUUUAAAUAAAGAAUAUUGAAGUGAGGUUUGGCUCCGCAGAAAGAAACGUAGAAAGCAGACGUGAUUGAAUUGGCAAACACCUUCCGGUGUGGCACCCUUUCCAGAGAUUUGGGAUACUUCUAAAUAUAAAAGUUACAGAAUAUAAAGCGAGGUUAGGUUUUUGGUGAAUACAGGAUAUGAAAGCGAGACUUGGUUUUGGUGAACACAGGACAUGAAAGCGAGGCAAGGUUUUGGUGAAUGAAAUACAGGGAGCUGACAGGUGUGAAAUAUGUUCACACAGAAUACGUUUCUGGCGCUGGUUCCAAUGUUUCCGCCAUCAUGAUGUUAAGCAAUGAAACGAGUGACCAGAAAGUCUAUUGACAUUCUUCUACGUGAAUGGCACAAUACACGGUAAGC